GGGUCUCACUCUCAUGCGGCCACA
rnacentral:siRNA from 1 species